GCCAUCCCAGUGACCUUUGAGGUUGCAUUUCACAGCAUGUUUUCUACAUGAGAACAAAUGAUGAAACUUCACUAUUUCUGCCAAGUGAGUGGUAGCUAUGGUGAAGAUUUAUAGGCGUGAUCUGAUAAUCUAUGGGCCUAAUCAUGCAGUUAUAGAGUUGCGUGUCAUUUACUCAAAAAGGCUGAAAUGAUCUAGCACUGUGUGGACUAUGGUGAAGGAGUGCAUUUUGUCAUCUGCAAGGUUAGAAGAUAUACAGCCUAUUUAGCAGACUGUAAAAGGGAGAGACAAGAGCUAAUGUUUCUCAAAAUAGCAGACUGUUACACAAAAUUUUACAAGACUCAGAGAACGAAGAAGUGGGGACUGUCAGAUGCACUCUAAAUUGGAAGCCAUUAUGGUUUUCCUUUUCCGUAUUGCUUCAAUAAUUAUAUAGAUUUUCUAUUUAAUUUUUUGGAAAUUAUUUAAGUCAUGCUAACUUCAUCUCUUUCAGAACAGCAAACAUGGAAGCAGACUAAUAAUAUAAUAUUGACAUAUUUCAAGUGUUGAGUUCUUUAGAUGAAAGCAGCAUGUUCAGAAUGUGUUGUGCCUGUAAUGUGCCCGUGUUCCCUUAUCUCUUGUGUUACAUUUUAUUCAACAGUUAAGAAGGGUAAAAAGUGCGUCUUUCAGUUGUUCUAUUUUAGGUAAACAUAAUACGGUACACCUUUUCUAAGCACUGAUUAACUGCUCAACUCCAUUUCUACAAAUAGAACUAAAGGUGGCAAACACUUUGCUUCUCUUCGUACUUAACCUAUCCACGCCAAAACCAGUAUGUUCUUCGGCACAAGCAGGGAAUUAAAUUGAUGACUGAAAAUUUAAAUUAAUACUUCUUCUUGUGAUCUUCUGACUAAGAACAAGUGCAGCUUCAAUUUAUCAUAUAAUGCAUUCCCUAGCAAGGAACAGCAUCAGCCUGGGUCCAUAUGCAGCUGGAAGUAGUGAGGGAGCAGACACGUUUCCUUGCAGCAUAUUGUCUCUCCUUUGGAGCCAGCUCGCCUGGGAAGGGGAGAUGCUGCCCAGCCUGCAGCAGGUCUUGGCUCCUGCUCUAGCUGUCAAUUCCAAGUUCUUAAAUAGCUAUUUAGAGCAGGGGCUGAGGUCCAAAAGACGGGCAGUGAUGUGUAGAUCACCUGAAAUGUCAUGAUUCGACAUGACACAUUUGCUCCCUUCUCUUCCCCACCUGCUCACCUCACGGGUCUGAUUUAAAUCAAUCUUUUCACCUCUCCCAAGACUCACAAUUUAAGCCGAGCACACACUCAUGAAAACAGAUUUAUAAUGAAGCUGGUGGCCAUUAAAUACUAGCCUUACAUCAGAGGUGACCUUAUUGUAAAGCGUUGUACAGUGAAUUUAUUUUGACUUUUCACAUUCUAUACCUUGUCUCCCACAUCACAGAGACGCGCGAUGAGGCAGCCGAGUCAGCGGUGACGGGAGGCCUGAUGUGUGAGAAUAAUGCCCACAUCUCACUUGGUUACAGCUGUGCUUCACAUCCCAGCAGUCUUCAAGCCUCAGAUCCCUGAUCUCUCGGCGUCUGACUUCACACCUGAGCGUGGUACAGAGAACGUGUGAAAACAAAGAGUUCUGUUGCUAAGGAGCAGUUGGAAGUCCCUGCUGCUGUCAGAGCGACAUGCCAGGACUCUCUCCCUCCUGCAUUUGGGGUUGCGUCUAGUGCCUACUAACACAGCAAUACCUGAAAUACCACCUCGCACAGGAGAGUAGCCAGAGGCAGGAGGGAUGUGCCAUCGCCUGGGCCAAGGUAACA